AAAGUCCCCUUCGGGGGGCAAGUAGAGUGGCGCACGGGUGAGUAACACGUAGGUAAUCUACCUUUGGAUUGGGAAUAACCACCGGAAACGGUGGCUAAUACCGAAUAAUGCAGCGGCACCUAAUGGUGACAGUUGUUAAAGCGGGGGAUCGAAAGACCUCGCGUCUGAAGAGGAGCCUGCGGCAGAUUAGCUAGUUGGUAAGGUAACGGCUUACCAAGGCGAUGAUCUGUAGCCGGCCUGAGAGGGCGGUCGGCCACACUGACACUGACAUACGGGUCAGACUCCUACGGGAGGCAGCAGUCGGGAAUUUUGGGCAAUGGGCGAAAGCCUGACCCAGCAACGCCGCGUGAAGGAUGAAAUCCCUCGGGAUGUAAACUUCGCAAGAACGGGAAGAAUAAGUAAGGGUUAAUAUCUCUUACGAUGACGGUACUGUUUGUAAGCUCCGGCUAACUCCGUGCCAGCAGCCGCGGUAAUACGGGGGGAGCAAGCGUUGUUCGGAUUUACUGGGCGUAAAGGGCGCGUAGGCGGCCACCGCAAGUCGACUGUGAAAUCUCCGGGCUUAACCCGGAAAGGUCAGCCGAUACUGCGGGGCAAGAGUGCAGAAGGGGCAACUGGAAUUCUCGGUGUAGCGGUGAAAUGCGUAGAUAUCGAGAGGAACACCUGCGGCGAAGGCGGGUUGCUGGGCUGACACUGACGCUGAGGCGCGAAAGCUAGGGGAGCGAACGGGAUUAGAUACCCCGGUAGUCCUAGCCUUAAACGAUGAAUGCUUGGUGUCUGGGGUUUUAUAGUCCCCCGGGUGCCGUCGCUAACGCUUUAAGCA
rnacentral:rRNA from 1 species